GUGGGGGAUAUUGCACAAUGGGGGAAACCCUGAUGCAGCGACGCCGCGUGGAGGAAGACGGUUUUCGGAUUGUAAACUCCUGUCUUCGGGGACGAAAUUGACGGUACCCGAGGAGGAAGCACCGGCUAACUACGUGCCAGCAGCCGCGGUAAUACGUAGGGUGCAAGCGUUGUCCGGAAUUACUGGGUGUAAAGGGAGCGUAGGCGGGUCAGCAAGUUGGAUGUGAAAUGUACCGGCUCAACUGGUAAAUUGCAUUCAAAACUGUUGGUCUUGAGUGAAGUAGAGGCAGGCGGAAUUCCUAGUGUAGCGGUGAAAUGCGUAGAUAUUAGGAGGAACACCAGUGGCGAAGGCGGCCUGCUGGGCUUUUACUGACGCUGAGGCUCGAAAGCAUGGGGAGCAAACAGGAUUAGAAACCCCAGUAGUCC
rnacentral:rRNA from 1 species